rnacentral:lncRNA from 1 species
AUUUGCUCUCAGCUCUAUUCCCACCCUUCUGUGUUCCUUGUUUUUCAGAAGGUUAGAAGUCUGCAAACUACAUUUAUCAUUUCCAUUGUCAGAUGGCUUCUGAUUAGAUUUUGUCACUGGGUGGUAUUGGUUAAAGUUGGAUGGAAGGAAUAAAUUAUAUAUUUUUCCAUAAUCUUGGUUUCUGGUAAUGUUUUCAGUAGUGGCAGUGAUAGCAGAAGAUGAGUACCGCUUCAGGGUUCCUGGUGUAGCAGUGCAGUUCCAGCAAGCAUGUCAGAAGUCUUGCUAGUGUGGUACUGGUGGGAUCAGGCUUUGAUGGUGGCAUCUGCAGUGCAGGAACAGAGGUGUUGCCUGCACAAAGAUGCUGGGAAGAGAAAGUCAGAGUCAUGGCCGACAGAUCUUCAUCCUCCCAAGCCAAGAUUGUGGAAGCCACUGGAGACCUGGUUCAGAAUCCAGGCUCUACUGCUCUCUAGCUAUGGAAUAAUGGAGAAGGCCAGAAGGUCAUGACAGCUGGAUCUUAGACAGACAUUCUGAGUCAUGAGGAGGAAGCCAAGUUCUGAGGAUGGUGGAGCAGGAAGAUAGAAGUUGGAACCCCAAUGACCUUGUGAACUAUUCUACUGACUGUGAACUGCCAACUCCGCACUUUUUUACAUGAGCAAGAAAUAAACCUCUUUCUUGUUUAAGCCA